AUCCAACUGACGAGUCCCAGAUAGGACGAAACGUCAAACUGGAU
rfam:Schistosoma rodhaini strain Burundi genome assembly, scaffold: SROB_contig0001815